GACAGAGGGUGCAAACGUUGUUCGGAAUUACUGGGCGUAAAGCGUGUGUAGGCGGUCUCAUAAGUCGGGUGUGAAAGCCCCGGGCUCAACCCGGGAAGUGCACUCGAAACUGCGAGGCUAGAGUACUGGAGAGGUUGGUGGAAUUCUCGGUGUAGAGGUGAAAUGCGUAGAUAUCGUAAGGAAGACCAGUGGCGAAGGCGGGUCUCUGGACAGUUCCUGACGCUGAGGCACGAAGGCUAGGGGAGCAAACGGG
rnacentral:rRNA from 1 species